CAUCACCUUAUGGUCACAGCGGUCUGAAAUAAAGUUCAUCAUAAAAGAACAUGUUCUGAGCCGGACAAGGCCAGAAACUGCUGUUGGAAUAAAGAGGCCGAAUUUCACAGCAUCUUACUGACAGACGAGAGGACCUGCAAGCUGAAGAUUCACACAAAGAGGACAAAAGUGAGAAAAUAGCCAUCAAAAACUCUGUUCUAAGCCAUCACAGUACGAGAAAACGUACAGUACAGUGGACAAAGGUGGACAUUGGUACACAGAGAUUGUCUGGACAGAUCCAAAGCAGAUCCAAAUGGACUGAGCUGGACGGGGCGGACGCUACUGACAGGAAACAGCUGGGACACACACACACUGGCUGUACCAAGGGGGAUGUAUACACAUGGCGAAGCAAAGCCAAGUGAUUUGCAAACGGAUGGAUUUGGGGAUGCAAGUCCACCCGGAGUUGGCUGACUGACAACAGGCCACAGGUUAAAGAGGCCUUACCCUCUCCAGCGACAGAACCACUGCACAGUCUCCUAGAUUUUGUGGUGGUUAAGGACUUCAGAAGAAAGCACUGGAAGGCGCAGAGGUGGAAAGGUGCUCCUGACAACAUACCCAGUGGUAAAAGUGGCUGAAAGAGCUACGUGGAUUCACGCCAGCCACUGCAGGAAGGUGCCUGCACCAGUACAACAAUAGAUCAACAAGCGUGCACAAUCAGCAACUGAACCACUGUUUUCCCUGACCUUGUGUUACUUGAGUAUAUAUAUAUAUACUUGAGUGAUCAAAGAAUGAUCACAAGGGAGGAGUAUGUGAUGGAAAUUUGAUAUUUUACUGUUUACUGUUUCACCCUGCAUGCUUCAUCAGAAUAGACCAGUGUUUCACUGUGUGGUAUUUGAUUAUUUUAUUAUGUUCCAGCUAGGUGAAGUUUUCCAUGGGAAAGAUGCUCGUUAGAGAGUUUUCUUAUCAGACUGUCCUUGAUAGGCCUUCAUCUCAGGACAGCUGGUCCCUACUCCCUUCCUCCCUUGGAUAGCUGCGUAAUACCCUUACAGUAUAAAGUC